rnacentral:rRNA from 1 species
UACGGAAGGCAGCAGUGGGGAAUAUUGCACAAUGGGCGCAAGCCUGAUGCAGCCAUGCCGCGUGUAUGAAGAAGGCCUUCGGGUUGUAAAGUACUUUCAGCGAGGAGGAAGGUGUUGAGGUUAAUAACCUCAGCAAUUGACGUUACUCGCAGAAGAAGCACCGGCUAACUCCGUGCCAGCAGCCGCGGUAAUACGGAGGGUGCAAGCGUUAAUCGGAAUUACUGGGCGUAAAGCGCACGCAGGCGGUCUGUCAAGUCGGAUGUGAAAUCCCCGGGCUCAACCUGGGAACUGCAUUCGAACUGGCAGGCUAGAGUCUUGUAGAGGGGGUAGAAUUCCAGGUGUAGCGGUGAAAUGCGUAGAGAUCUGGAGGAAUACCGGUGGCGAAGGCGGCCCCUGGACAAAGACUGACGCUCAGGUGCGAAAGCGUGGGGAGCAAACAGGAUUAG